UGGGAUAUCAUUUCUCUAUCAUAAACUGGGAGAGUUUUCCAAGUGGAUGUUGAAAGUUCCUGGUUUUGACACUGCAAAUGAAACUUUGCUGAGAAUCAGCACUCCAGGAAAGAGAACUUGGCUAAGUAGGGUUGGCCAUAGUGCUGCCACAGGAGACUAGUGCCUACUGGCUACUGGGAGAGAAGCAGCAUACGAGGAGAAAGGCAAGCAGCACAAAGGCAAUUGGAAGUCUGAAUGGUGAAACCCCCAGAUGUCCUGCAUCCAGGAAAAGAACACUUAGACAUAUACAUUACUUCAGGGAAAAAUUCAGCGUCGCAUGUCUUUUCUGUCAGGGCGUAUCCUAGAGCCCUGUCCCAGCAGCUGGUACCACUCAGACUUAGGGGCAGAAGAUCUAUUCUCAGCCCACCCAUGAGGGGACUACCAAAGAGGACUGACAGGAUACAUUCAAGUGACACAACUGAGAUCACCCUGAAGAGGUAUCUCUGAAACAAGAGGCUAUCAUGUAACUCAUCUUGAUGCAGGGAAGUAGAGGGCAAAGCACAACUUUUUAAUUAACUGUCUCUGUAUCACUGUCCAGAUCAAUAGGAUAAGGUGUCCCAUUGGAGCAUCUAAACCUACCUAAAGGUGACGUGUCUCAAGUAUAAUGAUGAGAGACUGUGUGAUUCACUGGCCUCCUCUGAGGGGAUUCUGUGCAGAGAACAGCCUGUAGGAAAAGGAUUGAAGGCUUAGUUCAACCCUGGAGAACCAUAUAAUGUAAUCAUGGGGCAUGGGGAAAGUUUGGCAAGCUGAUCAAAUACCAAUGUUUUGCUAUCUGUUAGAACUCUCUGCUUCUUGCUGUCAAGAUGAUGUGCUGAACAUGCCAUUGAUCUAGCUCCAGAGGUCAGUAUGACUAUGCCUUUCUUUGCAUGGCAAGUAGGUCACUAUUUUCUGUGCUAUGCAUGGCAUCUGACUCAGGUAUGGAAUGCAUUUGAUGUCUCAUACAAGCUGGCUGUGGCUAAGACAAACAGGCUGCUCUUGGUUCUGUAGUGAUUUCCCUCUCCAAUCAAGAGCUGUACCAUUUUUUUUUUUUUUUUUAAAUAAAAGGCUCAUUGGAGUUCAUGUCUACCACCAUUUCAGGAGUUCGAUUAAAUGAAAUGGACCAAACUGUGUGUGAUCUCUCCCUUACAGCUGGAAACCUUGAUCUAUAUCAAAGAGAGGCCAGCCUUGGCCUUGAUGACAUAGGCUCUGGAACCUGUGCCACAAAGAAGGCACCUGUUGGCAAGACCGCAGGGCACAGACGAUGACUCUAGGCCACUUCCCUCUAUGCCCGCAUCCGGAAGGUUCUAUUUUCUACCUGAUUCCUCCUGCUGCUGAUCAGAACUGAAUAAGUUGGCUUCUUAACACAAGCUGUGUAACAAGUGCAAGGUCUGGGGAAUACAUUUCCUUAUCAGGUGGAGACUUUGCAUAACUCUUUCAGAUUAUGUCUUAAAAUGAGGCAUGGCCAUGAGAUGGAACAAAAAAAUUAUGCAAACAGGCAUUUCCAGUGUAAUAAAUUAGAUCUUACUCCAAGAAGCCUGCAGAUCUGCUGCCAGCCCUUGGCUAUUGAUAGGAUCCACUGUCUGGGUUGGGAAUGAACUGAAAUUCUGACUACAACCUGCAGAUUAGCAGAGGCUGUGGGGGCCAGCAGUGCCCCGGGGCUGGCCUGCCAGGGCUCUGUUCUACCUCAUUCCACCUGCCACUAACACCGCAUCAGUUGUCUUCUCGCCACUGUGUUCUAACACACUGUUUUGCUGCAGUAGCCAUUGGCAUAGCUGUGAAGGAUGGGAGGGACAGCCUUCAUGCCCUGUUUUGCUCCAGAGGCUUGGAAGCAUCACCUGUGACUAUGGCGGGCUGACAGACUGCGUUACGGAGCCUUAUUUUACAUUGUUCUCUUCAUUCGCUAAAUGUUGGCUGCAGGGAGUGGAAUUUUCUAGGAAGGAUGUCUGAACCUGGAUGGAGCCAGGUUGAUUUGUAGGGGGGAAAUUACACUAUAGAGCUUCAACUAAAUUAAAUCAAUAGAAAAUGCAUUGUUUAGACCACGGUUGGAAGGAAAAAAAAAAAAAAAAAAAGACAUGAGAAAAUUCUUG
ensembl:lncRNA